AAAUACUACCUAGUGACCGAUAGUGAAGCAGUACCGUGAGGGAAAGGUGAAAAGAACCCCGGGAGGGGAGUGAAAUAGAACCUGAAACCGUGUGCCUACAACCGAUCGGAGCACGUUAAAGUGUGACGAUGUGCUUUUUGUAGAACGAGCCAGCGAGUUACGCUAUGUAGCAAGGUUAAGUACUUAAGGUAUGGAGCCGAAGGGAAACCGAGUCUGAAAAGGGCGAAAAGUUGCAUAGUGUAGACCCGAAACCGGGUGACCUAUCCAUGGCCAGGUUGAAGCGAGAGUAAAAUCUCGUGGAGGACCGAACCACGUUGGUGUUGAAAAACCAUGGGAUGAGCUGUGGAUAGAGGAGAAAUUCCAAUCGAACUCGGAGAUAGCUGGUUCUCCCCGAAAUAGCUUUAGGGCUAGCGUCGUGUAAUUGAGUAAUGGAGGUAGAGCACUGAAUGGGCUAGGGGCUAUAGUAGUUACCGAACCCUAUCAAACUCCGAAUGCCAUAUACUUGUAUCACGGCAGUCAGACUGCGAAUGAUAAGAUCCGUAGUCAAAAGGGAAACAGCCCAGACCAUCAGCUAAGGUCCCAAAGUGUAAGUUAAGUGGAAAAGG
rnacentral:ncRNA from 1 species